rnacentral:rRNA from 1 species
AGCGCAGGCGGGAAGACAAGUUGGAAGUGAAAUCUAUGGGCUCAACCCAUAAACUGCUUUCAAAACUGUUUUUCUUGAGUAGUGCAGAGGUAGGCGGAAUUCCCGGUGUAGCGGUGGAAUGCGUAGAUAUCGGGAGGAACACCAGUGGCGAAGGCGGCCUACUGGGCACCAACUGACGCUGAGGCUCGAAAGUGUGGGGAAGCAAACAG